rnacentral:tRNA from 1 species
GGGGUUGUGGCUCAGUGGUAGAGCCCUUGCCUAGCAUGCAUGAGGCAGUGGGUUCCAUCCUCAGCACCA